AGGAUUAGUACUUUAAUCAUAAAAGGUAUAGUUUGCAUCUAUAAAAUAUAGUUUAUCUUUCUAAUC
rnacentral:tRNA from 1 species